AACAAUAUCAUGAGCCGUACACCUCAGUUCGCACUGUAUCCCUGAAAAUACAUCAUUGUUUUUCUGGAUCAAGGUCUUUACUUCCUGUACUUGUGCUGGAGACAGUGUAGGUGAAACAUGCACUUCGGCUGCACGCCUGAGUGGGUGUGGGGUAUAUGACAAUUAGUGUUUCUCUCUCUAAAGCCACGCUUUUAACAGGUUUACGUGAUAUAUCUGUUCCGGGGACCGACGACCUGGCUGUCGGAUCCGAUAAUAAACCUCUCCUAUUUUCUCCAGCACUUGAUAUGAUCCCUUCAAUGUGGCUAACAGUUUACACUCUACCAUGGGGAUCAGCACAUUAUGUCCCGGUUGAAAUUCCCCCAGGGUAGCCUGCCGCUUAUAAGUAUGCCGCUGGUGCUCUGGUGCUCUUGUGCUUGUGGUUAUCCUGCCUAGCAUGGCUGUGAUGUGCUCUGUAACACUAGUAUAAGAGGUGAACUGGUGCUCCCAGGUUUCCCGUGCGAUGUCUAAGAUUCCCUGGGUAUGCCUCCCAUAUACCAGCUCAAAGGGUGAAAACCCCCGCGAGGCUUGGGGAACCUCUCUAAUGGCAAACAUCAGAUACGGCAACAUGAAAUCCCAGUUUUCCCCAUCCUUAUCUAUUACCUUCCAGAGCAUUGACUUCAGGGUGCGGUUGAAUCGCUCAACCAGCCCAUCCGUCUGAGGAUAGUAAACCGAUGUCCUCAACUGUUUCACCUGCCACAACUUGCAAAGGUCUGCCAUAAGGCGGGAUAAUAAAGGGGGUCUCCUGGUCAGUAAGGAUCUCUUUUGGAAUCCCUACCCUGGUGAACAGGGGCACUAAUUCCUUAGCUAUAAUUUUGGAAGACAUCGUCCGAAGGGGAUUGCCUUCUGGGUAGCGAGUGGCAUAAUCUAGGAUGACCGGAAUGUAUUGGUGCCCUCUGGCGGAUUUGGGUAGCGGGCCCACUAUAACCAUCGCUAUCCUCUCAAAUGGCGUUUCAAUUAUGGAGAUGUUAACUGGAACUCGGAGCACCCCCCACAAUCCAGUACUCCAGUGCUAGCCUCUCGACACUGGCUUCCCAUUAAGGCAAGGGCUGAUUUCAAGGUUUUACUGCUAACCUACAAAGCAUUACAUGGGCUUGCUCUUAUCUAUCUUUCCGAUUUCGUCCUGCCGUACAUACCUACACGUACGCUACGGUCACAAGACACAGGCCUCCUUACUGUCCCUAGAAUUUCUAAGCAAACAGCUGGAGGCAGCACUUUCUCCUAUAGAGCUACAUUUUUAUGGCAUGGUCUGCCUACCCAUGUGAGGGACGCAGACUCGGUCUCAACCUUUAAGUCUUUAUUGAAGACUCAUCUCUUCAGUAGGUCCUAUGAUUGAGUGUAAUCUGGCCCAGGAGUGUGAAGGUGAAUGGAAAGGCCCUGGAGCAACGAAGCGCCCUUGCUGUCUCUGCCUGGCCUCUAACCCUUUUACAGGGGCCGAGUCACUGGCUUACUGGUGCUCUUCCAUGCCGUCCCUAGGAGGGGUGCGUCACUUGAAUAGGUUGAGUCACUGACGUGAAAGUUUCUUCCAGCGCCGACAGAGAUGGCCGCCUCGCUUCGCGUUCCUAGGAAACUAUGCAGUUUUUAUAGUUUAUUUACGUGUUAUUUCUUACAUUGGUACCCCAGGUCAUCUUAGGUUUCAUUACAUACAGUUGAGAAGAACUACUGAAUAUAAGAGCAGCGUCAACUCACCAUCAGUACGACCAAGAAUAUGACUUUCCCGAAGCAGAUCCUGUGUUCUGCCUUUCACCCAGGACAAAGCUACCCUUGCUCGGAAAUCCGAGCAAGGGUAGCAUUCCAGAGGGACAUCAGAGACUGUAACGUUCUUUGCUUCACGGAAACAUGGCUCACUCGAGAUACGCUAUCGGAGUCGGUGCAGCCAGCUGGUUUCUCCACGCAUCGCGCCGACAGAAAAAACAUCUUUCUGGUAAGAAGAGGGGAGGGGGCGUAUGCUUUAUGGUCAACAAGACGUGGUGUGGUCACAACAACAUACAGGAACUUCCUUCUGUUCACCUGAUUUAGAAUUCCUCACAAUCAAAUGUCGACCGCAUUAUCUACCAAGGGAAUUCUCUUCGAUUAUAAUCACAGCCGUAUAUAUUCCCCCCCAAGCAGACACAUUGAUGGCUCUGAACAAACUUUAUUUGACUCUUUGCAAACUGGAAACCACAUAUCCUGAGGCUGCAUUCAUUGUAGCUGGGGAUUUUAACAAGGCUAAUCUGAAAACAAGACUCCCUAAAUUGUAUCAGCAUAUCGAUUGCGCAAACCAGGGCUGGUAAAACCUUGGAUCAUUGCUAUUCUAACUUCCGCGACGCAUAUAAGGCCCUCCUCCGCCCUCCUUUCGGGAAAGCUGACCACGACUCCACUUUGUUGCUCCCUGCCUACAGACAGAAGCUAAAACAACAAGCUCCCGCGCUGAAGUCUGUUCAACGCUGGUCUGACCAAUCUGAUUCCACGCUCCAAGACUGCUUCCAUCACGUUGACUGGGAUAAGUUUCGUAUUGCGUCAAACAACAACAUUGAUGAAUACGCUGAUUCGGUGAGCGAGUUCAUUAGAACGUGCGUGGAAGAUGUCGUUCCCAUAGCAACGAUUAAAACAUUCCCAAACCAGAAACCGUGGAUUGAUGGCAGCAUUCUCGUGAAACUGAAAGCGCAAACCACUGCUUUUAAUCAGGGCAAGGUGACCGGAAACAUGACCGAAUACAAACAGUGUAGCUAUUCCCUCCGCAAGGCAAUCAAACAAGCUAAGCGUCAGUAUAGAGACAAAGUAGAAUCGCAAUUCAACGGCUCAGACACAAGAGGUAUGUGGCAGGGUCUACAGUCAAUCACGGAUUACAAAAAGAAAACCAGCCCAGUCACGGACCAGGAUGUCUUGCUCCCAGGCAGACUAAAUAACUUUUUUGUCCGCUUUGAGGACAAUACAGUGCCACUGACACGGCCCGCAACCAAAACAUGCGGACUGAGUAAAACAUUUAAACGUGUUAACCCUCGCAAGGCUGCAGGCCCAGACGGCAUCCCCAGCCGCGCCCUCAGAGCAUGCACAGACCAGCUGGCUGGUGUGUUUACGAACAUAUUCAAUCAAUCCUUAUCCCAGUCUGCUGUUCCCACAUGCUUCAAGAGGGCCACCAUUGUUCCUGUUCCCAAGAAAGCUAAGGUAACUGAGCUAAACGACUACUGCCCCGUAGCACUCACUUCCGUCAGACUAGUCAAGGACCAUAUCACCUCCAACCUACCUGACACCCUAGACCCACUCCAAUUUGCUUACCGCCCAAAUAGGUCCAGAGACGAUGCAAUCUCAACCAUACUGCACACUGCCCUAACCCAUCUGGAUAAGAGGAAUACCUAUGUGAGAAUGCUGUUCAUCGACUACAGCGCAGCAUUUAACACCAUUAGUACCCUCCAAACUCGCCAUCAAGCUCGAGACCCUGGGUCUCGACCCCGCCCUGUGCAACUGGGUACUGGACUUCCUGACGGGCCGCCCCCAGGUGGUGAGGGUCGGUAACAACAUCUCCACCCCGUUGAUCCUCAACACUGGGGCCCCACAAGGGUGCGUUCUAAGCCCUCUCAAUUCAACGGCUCAGACACAAGAGGUAUGUGGCAGGGUCUACAGUCAAUCACGGAUUGACUGCACGCCUCCAACUCAAUCAUCAAGUUUGCGGACGACACAACAGUGGUAGGCUUGAUUACCAACAACGACGAGACGGCCUACAGGGAGGAGGUGAGGUUCCCUCGGAGUGUGGUGUCAGGAAAAUAACCUCACACUCAACGUCAACAAAACUAAGGAGAUGAUUGUGGACUUCAGGAAACAGCAGAGGGAACACCACCCUAUUCACAUCAGUGGGACAGUAGUGGAGAGGGUAGUAAGUUUUAAGUUCCUCGGCGUACACAUCACAGACAAACUGAAUUGGUCCACCCACACAGACAGCAUCGUGAAGAAGGCGCAGCAGCGCCUCUUCAACCUCAGGAGGCUGAAGAAAUUUGGCUUGUCACCAAAAGCACUCACAAACUUCUACAGAUGCACAAUCGAGAGCAUCCUGUCGGGCUGUAUUACCGCCUGGUACGGCAACUGCUCCGCCCACAACCGUAAGGCUCUCCAGAGGGUAGUGAGGUCUGCACAACGCAUCACUGGGGGCAAAUUACACCACCCGAUGUCACAGGAAGGCCAUAAAGAUCAUCAAGGACAACAACCACCCGAGCCACUGCCUGUUCACCCCGCUAUCAUCCAGAAGGCGAGGUCAGUACAGGUGCAUCAAAGCUGGGACCGAGAGACUGAAAAACAGCUUCUAUCUCAAGGCCAUCAGACUGUUAAACAGCCACCACUAACAUUGAGUGGCUGCUGCCAACACACUGACUCAACUCCAGCCACUUUAAUAAUGGGAAUUGAUGUAAAAUAUAUCACUAGUCACUUUAAACAAUGCUACUUAAUAUAAUGUUUACAUACCCUACAUUAUUUAUCUCAUAUGUAUACGUAUAUACUGUACUCUAUAUCAUCUACUGCAUCUUUAUGUAAUACAUGUAUCACUAGCCACUUUAAACUAUGCCACUUUGUUUACAUACUCAUCUCAUAUGUAUAUACUGUACUCGAUACUAUCUACUGCAUCUUGCCUAUGCCGCUCUGUACCAUCACUCAUUCAUAUAUCUUUAUGUACAUAUUCUUUAUCCAUUUACACUUGUGUGUAUGAGGUACUAGUUUUGGAAUUGUUAGCUAGAUUACUCGUUGGUUAUUACUGCAUUGUCGGAACUAGAAGCACAAGCAUUUCGCUACACUCGCAUUAACAUCUGCUAACCAUGUGUAUGAGACAAAUACAUUUGAUUUGAUUUUUAUUCCUGUCCGGGUUGGCACCCCCGCCUUGGGUUGUGCCGUGGCGGAGAUCUUUGUGGGCAAUACUUGGCUUUGUCUCAAGAUGGUAAGUUGAUGGUUUAAGAUAUUCCUCUAGUGGUGUGGGGGCUGUGCUUAGGCAAAGUGGGUGGGGUUAUAUCCUGCCUGUUGGCCCUGUCCGGGGGUAUCGUCGGAUGGGGCCACAGUGUCUUCUGACCCCUCCUGUCUCAGCCUCCAGUAUUUAUGCUGCAGUAGUUUAUGUGUCUGGGGGCUAGGGUCAGUCUGUUAUAUCUGGAGUAUUUCUCCUGUCUUAUCCUGUGUCCUGUGUGAAUUUAAGUAUGCGCUCCCUAAUUUUUUUUUUUUCUCUCUCUCUCUCUCUCUCUCUCUCUCUCUCUCUCUCAUUCUUUCUUUCUUUCUCUAUAACCUUGCCUCAGGACUUCCUGGCCUGAUGACUCCUUCCUGUCCCCAGUCCACCUGGCCAUGAUGCUGCUCCAGUUUCAACUGUUCUGCCUGAGGCUAUGGAACCCUGACCUGUUCAUCAGACCUGCUGUUUUCAACUCUCUAGAGACAGCAGGAACGGUAGAGAUACUCUGAAUGAUUGUCUAAGAAAAGUCAACUGACAUUAACUCCUGAGAUGCUGACCUGUUGCAUCCUCGACAACCUCUGUGAUUAUUAUUAUUUGACCCUGCUGGUCAUCUAUGAACAUUUGAACAUCUUGGGAUGUUCUGUUAUAAUCUCCACCCGGCACAGCCAGAGGAGGACUGGCCACCCCUCAUAGCCUGGUUCCUCUCUAGUUUUCUUCCUAGGUUCUGGCCUUUCGAGUGAGUAUUUCCUAGCAACCGUGCUUCUACACCUGCAUUGCUUGCUGUUUGGGGUUUUAGGCUGGGUUUUUGUACAGCACUUUGUGGCAUCAGCUGACGUAAGAAGAGCUUUAUAAAUACAUUUGAUUGAUUGAUUGAAUCCCUGGCCAGUAAAACCUCCUCACAAUCUUGUCUCAGGUUUUAUCAAUACCAAGGUGCCAUUUUGUGCUUUGCAGUUCACCAUCUGGCCACACCCUAGUGAGAGGGCAGAGCCCGUUUAUUUGUUCUGCCCUCACAUAUCUGCCAUUUAUCACUCAGCCCCCUUCUUUGUCACAAAAUCUACCUCAAAUACCUCAUACCUCUGCACAUCAACUCGGUCCUGGUACUCCCUGUAUAUAUAUACAUAUAUACACUAAAAUAACACAUCCUAGAUCUGAAUGAAUGAAAUAUUCUUAUUAAAUACUUUUUUCUUUACAUAGUUAAAUGUGCUGACAACAAAAUCACACAAAACUUAUCAAUGGAAAUCAAAUUUAUCAACCCAUCGUGGUCUGGAUUUGGAGUCACACUCAAAAUUAAAGUGGAAAACCACACUACAGGCUGAACCAUCUUUGAUGUAAUGUCCUUAAAACAAGUCAAAAUGAGGCUCAGUAGUGUGUGUGGCCUCCACGUGCCUGUAUGACCUCCCUACAACGCCUGGGCAUGCUCCUGAUGAGGUGGAGGAUGGUCUCCUGAGGGAUCCAUAGCAUCAAUGCCUUCCUCUUGCAGGAACUGCUGACACACUCCAGCCACAUGAGGUCUAGCAUUGUCUUGCGUUAGGAGGAACCCAGGGCCAACCGCACCAGCAUAUGGUCUCACAAGGGGUCUGAGGAUCUCAUCUCGGUACCUAGUGGCAGUCAGGCUACCUCUGGCGAGCACAUGGAGGGCUGUGCGGCCCCCCAAAGAAAUGCCACCCCACACCAUGACUGGCCCACCGCCAAACCGGUCAUGCUGGAGGAUGUUGCAGGCAGCAGAACGUUCUCCACGGCAUCUCCAGAAUCUGUCACGUCUGUCACAUGUGCUCAGUGUGAACCUGCUUUCAUCUGUGAAGAGCACAGGGCGCCAGUGGUGAAUUUGCCAAUAUUGGUGUUCUCUGGCAAUGAAAAACAUCCUGCACGGUGUUGGGCUGUAAGCACAACCCCCACCUGUGGACAUCGGGCCCUCUGUUUCUGUUUCUGACCGUUUGAGCAGACACAUGCACAUUUGUGGCCUGCUGGAGGUCAUUUUGCAGGAUUCUGGCAGUGCUCCUCCUGCUCCUCCUUGCACAAAGGCGGAGGUAGUGGUCCUGCUGCUGGGUUGUUGCCCUCCUUCCGCCUCCUCCACGUCUCCUGAUGUACUGGCCUGUCUUCUGGUAGCGCCUCCAUGCUCUGGACACUAUGCAGACAGACACAGCAAACCUUCUUGCCACAGCUCGCAUUGAUGUCCCAUCCUGGAUGAGCUGCACUACCUGAGCCACUUGUGUGGGUUGUAGACUCCGUCUCAUGCUACCACUAGAGUGAAAGCACCGCCAGCAUUCAAAAGUGACCAAAACAUCAGCCAGGAAGCAUAGGAACUGAGAAGUGGUCUGUGGUCACCACCUGCAGAACCACUCCUUUAUUGGGGGUGUCUUGCUAAUUGCCUAUAAUUUCCACCUGUUGUCUAUUCCAUUUGCACAACAUCAUGUGACAUUUAUUGUCAAUCAGUGUUGCUUCCUAAGUGGACAGUUUGAUUUCACAGAAGUGUGAUUGACUUGGAGUUACAUUGUGUUUUUUAAGUGUUCCCUUUAUUUUUUUGAGCAGUGUAUAUAUAUAUAUUUAUAUAUGUGUAUGUAUCUAUUCCUCUUGUGUUACUGUUUUUCUUUGUAUUAUUAUUUUGUAACUCUACGUUGUUGGGAAGGGCUCGUAAACAAGCAAUUCACGAUUAAGUCUUGUAUUCGCAGCAUGUGAAAAAUUAAAUUAGAUUUGAUUUCACUUUCUACAUCUGUCAUUUGGUGCUGCAGUACACUUAUAAACAUAAAAACUAUAGAGUUAACAGACUUCACAACACCAUCCCAAUGCUGUUUGAUGCGCAGCCAAUCUGCUGCAUUGUGGGUAGGAUCAAAGGCGGUCCAGAAAGCAGGAUGGCCUCACACUGGCACAGAAUGAGCUUGGUUGCAUCCCAUCCCAACACAAAACAAACCAAAUGAAUGAAUGAAGUAAACAAAAGCCUAAUCAAAUUAACCUUCUCAUCAAUCCCUGCCUCAGUUUCCUCCGCUUUGUAAAUGAGGAGUAUGGAUAUUUCAAUAGCUCAAACAAAUAAAGAUAAUUUAAGUAUGGCAUACGUGUCAGUGUGCUAGUGUUGAUUAAUUCAUGACUGUGGCAUCCAAAGGGAUAAUGCCUUAGUCUCUCACACUAAAGACCCAGGUGUUGUGGUAUUGUGAUGAAUAUCAAAAGGGGAUACAAAUGUUUCCCUCAGGUAAAUCCAAGGGGAACUUUCUGAAUAUAUCAUUAUACUGUAUUCUGCAGACAGUAGCACGUUUGUAUGAAGGCGUGGUUAUUCACAGGCAAAUUGCUAUAUGCUAAGGAGGUACAUUUGUGUCUUUUUGUCGAGGGCAAAACCUUUUUGAUUUUCAAUCAAAAAUAAUCUAAAUUAAAAGUCAAAGCGGACACCUAUGAAGAUGGCAUCUCAGGUAAGCAGCACUGGGCUGUACUGACGUAUCCUAAAAAUGACAUCUGCUGCAUUAGAUUGAACGGUCACAUCUCAGUUAUUGUUUUCAUAUCUACAAAAAAUAAGCUGUUUUCUUUACUUUCAGAAAGCGAGCUGACCAAGGGGUCGAAAAAGUAGAUAUUGCCAGAUGUUCACUGUCCGAGAAACAGGCCAUGGGAAGCUUUAUUGAUGGCAAAAGUGUACAUAACCAGAGCAUAAAGUACUCUGUAGCCACUUAGUGUGGACACCAUGUGAGACCACACACAGUCUCUCUUCUUCACUUCAUCCCUCUCCCACAUCUCCCUAAAUCCUCUGGGUUAUACCAGCUAUUUUGGUGAACCCCUCCCGCAUCUGAACUGGCAGAUACAGAGGGCUAAGCAUGAUGUGACUUGGUCGGGUCAACAAGAGGUAUUAUUAAAGAGAUGCAAUACAGACAGAGAUGUAGUAGUCCCAGAGUUAAUGAUCCAAGGUCAGUUUUGCAUUUCACCUCCUGAUUUAAGAUGACUGACCGUGUUAGAAUUUAAAAAACCAAUCCUAAAUCAUGCUCUCUCGUCUGCAGGUAUGUUUUGAUGUGAGAGAGGAAGCCAGUCCUGUCAUCGCCACCUCAGCCGCUCUUAGGAUAACCUUCGGGCCAACUGGGGGCCCAAGGCUGGUUAGGAGACACCGCAAUUGUGAUGAACUGAGAGAAUAUUAGGGUAGCACUGUAAUUGAUGAAUCAUAUACUGUCUGCCUCUGUUCUUACCUCUUUCCCUUUCUGUCUUCUACACCUCUCUCCCCACCUUGUCUUUCUUCCUCGUUUUAUAAUGCACAACAUAUGCCCAUUGAAGUAUUUAUAAUAUUACAAUUAUCAUAAUUAUAAUGCAUUUAUGUAUUUAUAACACCUGGAUAAUGAACUUCUUUCAAUAAAGCGUUUCACAUUC